UACGGAAGGGGCGAGCGUUGUUCGGAAUCAUUGGGCGUAAAGGGCGCGUAGGCGGCCUGCUAAGUCGAACGUGAAAUCCCCGGGCUCAACCCGGGAACUGCGUCCGAUACUGGCAGGCUUGAAUUCGGGAGAGGGAUGCGGAAUUCCCGGUGUAGCGGUGAAAUGCGCAGAUAUCGGGAAGAACACCUAUGGCGAAGGCAGCUCUCUGGGACGGUACUGACGCUGAGACGCGAAAGCGUGGGGAGCGAACAGG
rnacentral:rRNA from 1 species